ensembl:lncRNA
CAAAAAUUCAAAGUGCUGAAAGUCUGAUUUUGAGUCCUGAGAGAAAAACGAUUCCUUAGGGAGAACUAGGAGUCACGUUUACUCUUUUAGGGAUAUAAGAAUUCCAUGGACAGAAGACUAAUCCAAAUCCUAGAUGGACGGCACUGGCAUGGUCACCUAGUAACUACAAGGACAUUAAAGAGCCAGUUCCUGAGGAUUAUUUAUGACCUGAGGCAAGUUGGCCGACUUGGUGUGUCAGAUGGCAAUCCCCAGGACAUUCUGGAUGUGAAGAAAAAUGACUGUGAAGAAAAAAGAAUGUUAGCCUUCCUGAGAGGAGGUGUCCACAAGAAAGAGAGAAAGGGGCCAGAUGUUCAAGCUGAUUUUAGAAAAGGCAAAGGAACCAGAGAUCAAAUUGCCAACAUCCGCUGGAUCAUUGAAAAAGCGAGAGAGUUCCAGAAAAACAUCUAUUUCUGCAUUACUGACUAUGCCAAAGCCUUUGACUAUGUGGAUCACAAGAAACUGUGAAAAAUUCUGAAAGAGAGGGGAAUACCA